AACGAACGCUGGCGGCAGGCUUAACACAUGCAAGUCGAGCGCCCCUCCUGGGGAGCGGCAGACGGGUGUCGAACGCGUGGGAAUCUACCCAUCUUUACGGAAUAACGCGUGGAAACGGUUGCUAAUACCGUAUACGUCCUUCGGGAGAAAGAUUUAUCGGAGAUGGAUGAGCCCGCGUUGGAUUAGCUAGUUGGUGGGGUAAAGGCCUACCAAGGCGACGAUCCAUAGGUGGUCUGAGAGGAUGAUCAGCCACACUGGGACUGAGACACGGCCCAGACGCCGACGUGAGGCAGCAGUGGGGAAUAUUGGACAAUGGGCGCAAGCCUAAUCCAGCCAUGCCGCGUGAGUGAUGAAGGCCCUAGGGUUGUAGACCUCUUUCACCGGUGAAGAUAAUGACGGUAACCGGAGAAGAAGCCCCGGCUAACUUCGUGCCAGACGCCGCAGUAACAC
rnacentral:rRNA from 1 species